UACGGAGGGUGCAAGCGUUAAUCGGAAUUACUGGGCGUAAAGCGCACGCAGGCGGUCUGUCAAGUCGAAUGUGAAAUCCCCGGGCUCAACCUGGGAACUGCAUUCGAAACUGGCAGGCUAGAGUCUUGUAGAGGGGGGUAGAAUUCCAGGUGUAGCGGUGAAAUGCGUAGAGAUCUGGAGGAAGACCGGUGGCGAAGGCGGCCCCCUGGACAAAGACUGACGCUCAGGUGCGAAAGCGUGGGGAGCAAACAGGAUUAGAUACCCUGGUAGUCCACGCCGUAAACGAUGUCGAUUUGGAGGUUGUGCCCUUGAGGCGUGGCUUCCGGAGCUAACGCGUUAACUCGACCGCCUGGGGAGUACGGCCGCAAGGUUAAA
rnacentral:rRNA from 1 species